GAAUACUCAGCAUCCCACUGACAACAGUGAAGCUCCAGUGGGUGCCCUGGCUGUGGAUGUUUCUCUGGAAAUUUAGGGGCUUGCUGGAUGUGGAUUGCAGCCAGCAGAGCAAAUUCCAGCCUCUUCAUCCCAGAUAUACAACUCUGGAGACAAGGAGCCCAGGUAAGGUGGGAGCCACAGGUAAAUAAGUUUGCAGGUGGAUGCUCAUCUUGCAAUAAAUGCAGGGAAAUCCCAGAUUCAGCUUCCUGGGAUACCAUGGAGUGUUUUUCCAGCACAAAGAGGGAAAAAACCCCCACAACAAACCAGAACCCAGAACCCUGAGGGGAAACAAGAUCUGACCUAUUUUUAUCUCAAGAACCGACUCCAGCUGAAGACUUGACUCUCCAGAGAAAAGCAAAUUCUCCAGGCCAAAUGUGACAUGUCACGUGAGGAAGGAUGUGGUUUUUCCACUUGGAUGUCCCUCCCUGGCUGCAUUAAGCUGACUUGGUGCUUGCAAAGAUGGGAAGAUAUUUUUAGCCCUAAAAUGCAGACCCAGGGCCAUGAACUGGCUGAGCCUGGCUUGAAAUCAUCCUGUGCUUCCCAAGGUGAGGAAUAUCUGGGUGGGCAAGCUCAGCACACGGUGCCUGUGUUGAGCAGUGGGCUAAUGGCCAUAAAUGAAUAUAAAAUGAGAUUGAAUACUUUGGUAACAGUGAUGGCAUGGAAUAAAAAGUAGGAAGCGACUUAAAAGCACGUUGUUCACCUGGAGUAACAUCAGGGUAACCCACGCUCAUGGAUCAGGGAUGCAUCUAACACCAGGGGUCAGGUGAGAAUUGUGCUUUACAUCCCUGGUUGAUUUUUUUUCCUCAGCCUUUUGGAGCACCAUCAGUCCCAGACUUGAUGGAGGGACUGGUGCUCAGCUCCCUCACCUGCUUUAGUGUUGCUGUUUGUCCAUCAGUAAGGGCUUGAUUGGGUCCAUCUCCAUCAGUUUGACUGGGAUCCUGACAGGGAGCUGUAGGAUCAGAGCAGAUCUCUGUUCCAGGAGCAAAUCCUCUCGCCAACUGGAGGGAGAUCCCAUUAUAACCCUUGAACUUGCAUCUUUCCAGCCCUGCUUUGGCCAACCCUCCUCUGAGGACACCUCAGAUGUGUCUGUUCCCCUGUGUGGGCUACACACCAGCAGGUGCUGCCUGGUGCUGGCUGAGUGAGCCCUCCUGAUGGGCUAUUUCCCAUUAUCCCACCAGCACACUGUGUUAUAAGUGGCAUUCCCAGGGCUGUGACAGUGGCCACACUCAUUGUUCAGAUCUCUGCCUACUCCCAAACCCAGCCUUGCUUUGCCUUUGCCUUUGUGGGGCCCUGAUGUGCUAAAAUUUUCCCCGAGUUUCCCUGACCCAGGUAGGAUGGGAAAAGCAGCAAAACCCGUGCAGAGGCCAGAGUUCAUUAGCACCACUGCCCUGCAGCUCAGCCUCUCCUCCUCCUCCUCUCCUGGGCACCUGUAGUUCCACCCUGGUAUCCGCUGCAUCCCGACAUCCUCGACGCUUCGGUGCUGCCGGGCACUUCCAGCAACAAGGCUUUGGUAUCAGACUGUGACCACGAGCAGGAUGAAAAGCAGAAUGUGGGAAGACAGGGCUGGAAAUUACUAAUUGCCCUCCAGUUAAAGGACACAGCAGGAAUGGGCCCAGCGAUGGAUAAAUGGCUGUUCUUGAGUGAUUGUAGCUCUGGAUGCUGAACACAAAGUUCCUGCUGAAAGUUUCAUCAAAACCUUCCCGUGAAACCUGUUUGUUUUGAAAUAUUGGCAUUUUGUGAUGAAUAACAAUGUCACUGGAAAAAGUCCUGUUGGAAUAUUUGCAGUGGAGUCCCCUGAGCCUGUGUAUUAAUCCAGUCUCCUACACUUGGAUUUGGAUGGAUGUCAUAGAAUCUAUAGGAUGGGUGAGGUUGGAAAGGACCACUGGAGAUCAUCUAGCCCAACCUUUCUGCAGGAUCCACUCAGGAUUGUGUCUGACAACUUCUGAGUGUCUCCAGAGAAGGAGACUCCACAACCUCCCUGGGGAGACUGUUCCCAGAUGCCUCCCAUCCCUGCAGGACCUCGUUAGGAUGGUGACAACUCACAGUGACAACCCUUUCUGUUGGGGGGUGACCUGUGCCUUUGCCUGUGGGACCCAGAAGGACACUGGCAUGGUGAGCACCACACAUACACCAAUAAAACACCACUGUUUUCCUUC